rnacentral:lncRNA from 1 species
GCACUAUUUUUUUUAUUAACUCAGCUACCUCCCCAAGAAGUAAGUACUGUUGCUAUCAUUUCCAUUUUACAGAUGAAGAUUUGAGGUCUGGAUGGGUCUACCUGGCAGAGGCCACACAGAUAUAAAUGGCAUCACUGGAAUUUGAACCAAGGUAGAACUGGCUCGAAUCUGAGUUGUUAACUAUUGUGCCAUCUGCCUUUCUAAGAAGAUGUCAUUAUAUUUCCUCUUAGCAGCCCACUUAACAGUAACUGCCUUCAUCCACAGCCUUUAUUUCCUCGUGGGAGGGUUGCAAUAUUCAAAUUCUUUGGCACAUUUUCUACUAGAUGUAACAGAAGGAAGCUGAAAGCUUGCCUGAAAGCUUGAUGAUUUCUCAUUUUGGCCUUCCUAGUUUGCAGUGAGAUGGCUGAGUCAGCCAUAUUCUUAGUGUAAACUUUGUAUGUGCAAAACAAUCAAAACCACCAACCUGCUGGAACAGAUGCCAUGACCUCCUACACACAGCUGCCUUUCCUAGGACACACAGCAUGGUGUCCAGCUGAGGUGAGAGAUGCCCCAUGGCACAGAAUACUAAGAAGGGAUCAUCUCCAUACUCAAGUCCAUUUGGUCAUUAACUGAAUGUCUCUGUUCUCAGUGCCUGGACAGUUUGGCCUUGCUUCUGUUUUUUUGCUUUUUAGGGCUGCACGUGUGCAUAUAGAAGUUCCCAGGCUAGGGGCUGAAUUGGAGCUGCAGCCACUGGCCUAUACCAUAACCACAGCAAUGCGGAAUCCGAGCAUGUCAUCAACCUACACCACAGUUCACGGCAAUGCAAGAUCCUUAACCCACUGAGCAAGGCCAGGGAUCGAACCCAUAUUUCAUGGAUGCUAGUCAGAUUCAUUUCUGCUGCGCCACAAGGGGAACUCCUGGCCUUGCUCCUUACAGACACCUCCGCCCCUCAGUUUCCACCUCCUUCUGUCUGAGAGGCUGGGUAAACUGAGUUGGAACGGCAGCUUGAAAGAUGGGGACAGCUCAGAUUUUCUUCUUUUUCAUUUAAAAAUUGCUAGCAGAGGGAAGGGAUAAAUUAGGAGUUUAGAGUUAACAGAUACACACUACUGUAUAUUAAAGAGAUGGGAGUUCCCAGACUGCAAUCCUCCAUAUACUGUGAUGCUCGCAUCCCAGAUUGGCGGCGAGGUGGGGGGAAUGGAGCAAGAGUCAGGGUGAUUGCAGAAGUGCCCAGAGAAAUCCUAACGCUAAACCUCAGAGGGCAGAAGGUGGCCACAAAUCUACAAAAAUUUUUUGUGUCACUGACUCUUGAAGAUUUCCAGUGGUUUCUCUCCCCUCAAAGCAAAGAACCAAGUCAUUUGAAAACAUGGAACAAAUAAAAUACAGCCUUAGGCUUGCUGGGUUUUUGUUUGUUUUUUUUUAAUUUUUCAACAGUUUCAAAGAAAAAAAUGGAGUUUAUGUUUACUUAUUUUAAGAAAUUAUAUGCAACCAUUGGAGUUUUCGUUGUGGCUCAGUGGGUUAGCAACCCAACCUAGUGUCUAUGAGGAUGUGGGUUCCAUCCUGGCCUUGUUCAGUGGGUUAAGGAUCCAGCAUUGCCACAAACAGUGGUGUAGGUUUCAGAUGAGGCUCAGAUCCUGCAUUGCUGUGGCUAUGGUGUAGGCUGGCAGCUGCAGCUCCUAUUAGACCCCUAGCCUGGGAACUUCCAUAUGCUGCACCUUCAGCCAUAAAAAGAAAAAAGAAAGGAAAAGCAAAAAGAAAGGAAAAAAAAGAAAAGAAAGAAAUUAUACACAACCAAAGUUAAUCUGUGAGCCAAGAUGGUGGUAUGCGGAAAAAAACUUAAAUAGCGAAAGGGAGCAGAACAGGCCACCCCCAAAGAGGCCACUUUGGCAUGUGGAUUAUUUUGAGCCUAAGGCAAUCAAGACCCAGCAGACCCUGGAGAAGGUUUUACAGCUCCUUUAACUACCUAAAAAAAUUUAGAUAGGUGGCCUGGCCCAGAAAGAGAGUUAUUACCAGAGAUUUAUCUGAAUAUAACUAUCUGCAUGGCAGGCCAGAACUCUGAUCAUCAAACACCCACUCUCUUAUCUCCUGUGAAUUACCUUCCUUUCCUUUGAACACCUAGGCCCCUCUCCUAUUCCUUAACUCAGGAUGGCAUAUAAGCCUCAAUUGCCCAAGUCACCUUUAGAUCUCAAAUUUUUUUGUAUCUACAAAAUUAGAUUUAGUUCCUCCUGCUAAUUUGCCUUUUAUCAAUUUACUUAUUAGACCAGCCAAAGAACCAAGAACAGAAGAAGGGAAUGUUUUCUACCCCUGAAAUACGUUAUGUUGCACAACUAUCUUUUUCUGCUGCACAAUUACCCAUGCAUUCAGUUUUACCCUGUUGUUUAUUUUGUCAUAAAUUAAAUUAUAUUCUUUCUUUUCUUUAUGAGUUGAACAGUGCCAAAAGUGGCUUCUCAGUCAAUGAAUUCAUUCUUACCAUUGCCCAAAACCCCUCUAGUUCAUUCAAAUGAAUCAGUUUCUCUAAUUAGCAGAGAAUCAUCUGGAACUAAUUAAGUAAAAGAUCUGAGUUGUCAUCAAAAUGCCUUGGGAAACAUGUUAGGAUAAUAAAAUCAUUUUACAGACCAGUCGAAAAGGGAGAAAAGGAUAUAGUCAAUGGAAAAGCACAGGGCCUGAGAUUUAAGGCACAUAUUUUCCUAUUUAUUAACCAUGUGUUCUGGGGAAAAGAACUUAGUGUCUUGGGGCCUCAGUUUCCUUGCUGCUAUGCCUGCUUCCAGCUCUUUUUUGCCCCUGCUCUUUUUUUUUUUUUUUUUUGGUCUUUUUAGGGCUGCACCUGUGGCCUAUGCAGUUCCCAGACUAAGGACUGGAUUGGAGCUGCAGCAGCCCGGCCUACGCCACAGCCACAGCAACACCGAUUCUGAGUUGCAUCUUUGACCUACUCCACAGCUCAUGGCAUCCUUAACCCACUAAGCAAGGCCAGAGAUCAAACCCAUGUCCUCCUGGGUACUAGUCAGGUUCAUUUAUGCUGGGCCACAGUGGAACUCCCAGAGCUCAUUCUUGGGACCAAAUGUAUCAUAGAUGUAAAAGGUUUUGUAAAUGCCAGAGGACCAUUCAAUUGCAAACUACAAGUAUUCUGUAGUUGGGUUGGCUUUGGGGACAACAAAAGAAGCCUUUGUGUUUUACAUUCAGUCCUCAAACCAUGUAAGGCUUCUGAGGGGACCCCACAUCCACACCCUCUCUUCCAUCACAGCAGACCUCUGCCCUCCACCCCCAGGGCUCCACAUGGUUACUGUAGCUUUAGACCUAGUCUGAUCUCAUGGUAUUUCCUCUUUUCUCCACAGAUACUUCUCUGGAGCGGUGAUAAGCAUAUCAAAGUCCAUCAACAAUAAACUAGGCGACUUUUUGCGAAGUUCUACUUGAACCUAGAAGCCUGUGUGCGGGUUAAAACAGACUUGGAAACCAGUGAAGUUACCUAAAACAAUUUUGCUGUGAUUCCAGAAGAGGGCGACAGGGCUGCACUGAUUCUCCCACAGGAACUGCAGUGUAAUUCAAAGGUAACACCCCCGAAGAGCCUGCCUUCUUUCCUUUCUCCUCAGAUGAUUGCAGUCAUAAUUUUGAUAUUUCUGUGUGGAGAAAAGGUAUGGCUAAAGCCAUUUAUGCAUGCGGCUACACUUCCCAAAGUCUUCCAAAAUGGGUUUGCUUUUCGUUGAUCCCAGGAGCCACCAGGGCAUUUGGAAAGAGCAGCAAAGGUACACAAUGAAUGCACUGUCUCUGGAUGUGUCACACCUGUGGUAGGCAAUGAGCCCCCCCAGGUGGCUGAGCCAGCCUUCACCCUGUUUUCCUUCUUCCUGAGUGGGAAACUUGGUUUUGUUCAAGCAUCUGCCCCAUUUCCAGUCCGGAAGAGGAUCAUGAUUAAUCUAAGUCAAUCAGGGCCUGUUCUACCUUGGGAAAGGUAACUGGUCCAGGGAUGGACUUGGGACCUACAUGGCCCAGUCAGAUGGAAGGGUAGGGCUUAUCUUCCAUGACCUGGAAAGAAGUAUUCCCUCUUUCUCUCCUACUGGAUUUGAGUGAGGGAACUUAUUGCUCUUGGCAGCCCUGUUGCAGCUGUAAGACAGCCAGAGGGAAAAGCAGACUCAAGAAAGAAAGCAGGAAGAAAAGAACCUGGGGGUUUGGUGACACCACUAAACCCAGCAACCCUGUCACCUAGACUUCUUGUUUGGUGAGAUAAUGCAUUUUUGUUUAAACCUGCUUGAGUCAAACUUCCAUUUUUUGCAGAUACAGUAAUUACAUGGAUGAAUGAACUCUCCUCAGUUUCCCCAAAGCCACCCAGUCCAUUGUGUGGGUUGAAACAGUGUUGAGAGUAACGAAGUUGGACUUUUUUUCUUUUUUCUUUUUAAGACCAAACCUGUAGCAUACGGAGGUUCCCAGGCUAGGGGUAGGAUCAGAGCUGCGGCUGCUGGCCUAGGCCAUCAGAUCCGAGCUGCGCCUGCGACCUGCACCGCAGCUUGUGGCAAAGCCAGAUCCCUAACCCACUGAGCGAGGUCAGGGAUCAAAGCCACAUCCUCAUGGAUACUAUGUUAGUUUCUUAACUUGCUGAGCCACAGCAGGAACUCCUGGACUAUUUUUUUAUUUUAAACUGACUACUCAUUCCAUGGGUCACUUGUUGAGAAUGUUAUUGCCUAUUAUUCCUCUGAUGUUCUUUUCAAUGACACAGUACUUUAGAGAUAUUUAUGAUAUUUAUGAUACUUAUGAUCCAAGAUGGAUCUGUAGCUCAGAGAAGUUAUCUCCAAGUGAGAUUUUGUCGUACAACUAGCCAAAACACAUCCAAGGUCAUCCAAGAGGUCCAUGGAUGGGCUGAAGAUACCAUGUACAUCAUAAGUGCUCCUCCCAUUUCUAGUUCUAGCUAGGUAGAGGGAAAAAUUCAAGUUGUCUAAAAUAGUAAACUAUGGGAGUUCCUGCUGUGGCACAGAGGGUUAAGAAUCCCACUUAGCAACUCAGGUGGAUACAGAGGUGUGCGGGUUCAAUUCCUGGACAGGUGCAGUAGAUUAAAUAUUUGUUGUGGCCUCAGCUAUGGCUCAGAUUCAAUUCCUGUCCCAGGAACUUCCAUAUGCUGCAGGUGCAACCAUAAAAUAAAAUAAAAAAUAAGUAAAAUGGCAAACUAUGGUAGUUUUACAAAAUAGAAAUCAUUAGUGCUGGGAGUUAGUGCUUCGUGGCUCAGUGGUUAACAAAUUGACUAGGAACCAUGAGGUUGUGGGUUCGAUCCCUGGCCUUGCUCUGUGGGUUAAGGAUCUGGUGUUGCCAUGAGCUGUGGUGUAGGUUACAGACGCAGCUUGGAUCCCGUGUUGCUGUGGCUGUGGCGUAGGCCGACGUCUACAGCUCCGAUUAGACCCCUAGCCUGGGAACCUCCAUAUGCCGCAGGAGAGGCCCAAGAAAUGGCAAAAAAAAAAAAAAAAAAAAAAAAAGAAAGAAAUCAUUAGUGCUGCCUUCCUUUGUUCUCUUUUUCAAGGGUGGGGGAUUCUAUAUAUGUUUCUUCUUACUGAUUCUUCAUUGCUAGUUUAUAUUCAUAGCUUCUAAUUAAUUUAAACUGAAAACCACAUGUUAAAAGCCCCUGGUGGCUCCUGGUAGAAAGAGCUUGCCAAAGCAGGAAGUAGUGGUUGCCUCACAGGAAGGAGACCAAGGUGCCCAGCAUCCCAAGGUGCCCAGCAUCCCACGGAUUCUGGCCAAGUGUUUGAGGGAUUGUUCAGAGAAUCACAGGAUAAAUGGUCUAAGUGUUCAUGAAAUAUUUAUUUGACCAUAAUUAUGAGAAAUGAAGAAUCCAAAAGGAAUGUAGUUUUUCAGGAGUUCCCGUUGUGGCGCAGUGGUUAACGAAUUAACUAGGAACCAUGAGGUUGUGGGUUCAAUCCCUGCCCUUGCUCAGUGGGUUAACGAUCCGGUGUUGCCGUGAGCUGUGGUGUAGGUUGCAGAUGAGGCUCGGAUCCCGAGUUGCUGUGGUUCAGGCGUAGACUGGGACUACAGCUCCGAUUAGACCCCUAGCCUGGGAAUCUCCAUAUGCCAUGGGAGCGGCCCAAGAAAUAGCAAAAAAAAAAAGAAAAAAAAAAAAAGGAAUGUAUUUUUCAGCCAACAGUAUUCAGUCUUGUGCUAGGUGCUAAUCUGAUUAAAAGAUGGAAUAAGAUACAGUAAUGACAUUUGUAUUGUCCUCAGAGAAAGAAGACAUACAGUAAAUGGGAAACAAGUGGCCAUCCAUUUCAGGCAGUGGAUAAUUAAAUGCUAAAGUUAAGAGGUACAGAAUAAGUGCUAUCAGUACACAGAGAAAGGGGCUUAGAGUGAGCUACUGUGAUCAGGAGAGGUUUUUAUGGAGGAUAUGAAUUAAAGAGGAUGGUUUGUAUUUGGAUGAAUUUUCAAGGUGAGAAAAUUGGGACAAUUAUGGUAUUGUGUUUGAAAAUUAAAUCAAUACUAGUGAUUUUUGUUUCACACAUUGUUAAAGAUUUCCCCAAAUCUGUUCAUACAAAAGCAUCUGAAAUUGCUUACGAUAUUUUAGAAUAUUUCAACAUAAACUUAGGAAAAAAGUAAGUAUAUUUAUACAUAUCUUCUGUAGGAAAUAAAAACAUUGGUCAUGUAAUAGGUUCAUUUAUCCAUUUACUAAAUAUUUAUUGAGAACCUACUGUGAGCCAACUAAUGUUCUAAGUGAUGAGGAAAACGGAUAUGCCUCACUAAUGUUUAAAAAUCUUGGGGAUAUAUAUUAACAAUAAACAAGUAGUUACAACUUUUUUAAAGUAAAUAGAAAAAAUAU